CACAAGGCGGCAGCACUGCCGCCCUUCCCACGCUCGCAGCCGCGGCCGCUCUCGCAGCCCGAACUCGGCGUCACCCUCCCCUCUAUUCACACACACCCCCCGCUCCCCGCUCCAUCCGGGCAGCGCCGGCGGGGACGCCGCUGCAAUCCGGAUCUCCGGCGAGGAGAACAGCAUUGCUGCCCUGCCGGAUUGAGAAAUCCGAUUCCUUGCAGAGAUUGAGGGGAUAGGGAGCUGAUCCUCAGGCUGGCUUUUGGCAGCGGCAAUUGGGUGAGAUGGGGAGAGGGGAUAUUCCCCCGGAUCCGUUAAAGCCAGCUCUGCUGGGUUUGGGUAUCUCUCUCCAAAAACUGAUCCCGCUGAAGGGGGCUUGAGGAAGCAGCGGGAUGCCCUGGGGGCUGUGCUGGAAGCCCCAGCCCCGGUGAGGAAUGCUGGGCAGUGCCGGCUCCGAGGGGACCCGGAACAGGGAACAGCCCCGCUUCGGCCCCGGGAGAGGGGGCGGGCCGCGAGCGAUGGCCCCGCCCCAGCCCGGGCAGGACGGGGCGCCGGGGAGGGAGCGGGCGGGGCCGGGCGGGGAUUGAGGGGCGGGGCCGGGCCCGACUCAGGUGCGCGGGGCCCCAGUGCGGCUGCGCGGGCCGGGGCCUAUUUCUAUGCGGCCGAUCCGCUCCCGGCCCGUUCCAUUCGGGACCACUCGUGCUGGGAUGCGGCGGGAUCCUCGUCGGAGCGCUGUGCCAGGGACAGCUCCCGGUUCUGCGCGAAUCCUGGGGCGCUCAGGUCACAGGAUAUACUGGGAUUGAGAGGGUUCCUAAAAUCCGACUCUCGAGGACACGGCCCGUGGGAGAAUUGAACUCACAACCUUGGCACUACCUGGACUGUGCUCCGACUGACUGAGCCCUCUGCAUCACAGCUGCGGGGAACAGGGGGCAGGAGGAGGCCAGGAGUCCCCGAAAGGCAUCCAGCACCUCUUGUCCAUGGGCCCUCGGGGCAGGGGCUGUGCCUGCAGCGUCCUGCCCGUGCCGAGCACACGGCCCGGGAUGGGCGCUGGGUGCCCGGCCGGCGCUGGCACGGACACGGCUCAAGGGCUGCCCAUGGCUCCCGGGCCAGGGGCUGCUCUGAGCAGGCUCCUGGAGAUGCUUCAGCCUGGAUACAGGCCACUGACAGCCCAAAAGCAGCCCAAGGAGCAGCUGGCGUGUCCUGGUGAUGGUGGCACGGGCUGCGUGCAGAGGGGCUCAGACAGCAAUUCCUGGUUCCAGCCUCCCAGAGCUCCCAGGCAGCUGCCAGCUAUUAAAUGCCAACCGACAGCCUGCAGAGAUGCCUUCAAAUCAAAGGUUCAGGUGGGAUGAAGUUUUGUUUGGACGAAGGUGGGAGUUUCCAGGGAGCCAGCUGGAAGUGCAGAAGGGAUGGAAAGCUUUCCCAGGUGGGUCCCACUGGAGGUGUGCUGAAGGCAGGGAUGUGCACCCU